GUUUCUCUGGAAGUGCUGGGGAGGGAGCGCCCCCUCCCUGAGGGGGAGCAUCCGAUGCGGCAUUCCUGGGGUGGGGCGCCCAGAUGUGGUGUUCCUCGCAUGGAGUUCCCAGGUGGGAUAUUGCUAGUGUGCCGUUCUUGGCACGGAUCUGCCAGGUGUGGUGUUCCUGGAGUGGAGUUACCAGAUGUGGUGUUUCUGGCGUGGUGUUCCUGGCAUGGAGUUCCCAGGCAUGGCACUCCCAGCCAUGGCACCCCUGGCACGGUGCUCCCAGCUGGCACGUGUCCUUCAGGAUCCAGGCUGCACACAGGCGAGAGGCCCAGCUCUUCCUAGAUGCCCGUCAGAUGCCCCCUAUCUUCCCUGUCCUGGGGACGUGGCAUCCCACCGCCCCCCUUUCCCCCUGAUGUUCAUACGCCAAUGUCGCUUUGGUUUUCCUGCAGUUUGCUCCUUGGUGGGAGUGGCCUCGUUUGUUUCUCGUUGUGGAGCAGCCCAAAAUGUUCAAACGAUCCAAAAAUUCCAAAAAGCAUCGGCCCUACAUGUACUUUUCUCUCCUGGUAAAUAAACCACGGGUGCCUCCCCUGGUCAGUGAGUUUCCCUUGGGUCAUUGUGUUGAAAAGCUGCGAGAGCUUCCGCGGGUCCGCUGUGACGUGGCUGGUGUAGAUGGAGCUGGAGUAGGCUGGUCUCCAUCUGGCCACUAAUCAGAUCAGUGACCUCCGUGUGGGUCACUGUGGUUCUACGCCACACACACCCCCAUGAGUGUCCCCAACCCCAGGGGGACCCGCAGCAUCAGCCUUCCUUUGAGCACCAGCCUUUUCCUGGGACCCUGUCCUUGUCACCUGUGGGGGAGGCCCUUCCACAUUCUCCUCUGUUUUGUCUUGAGCCCAGGUCCCCUGGGGCGGGGUCUCUGCGCUCCUGUUGUGGUUGACAAACCCAUCCAGAUGCUGGACUCCUCCCCUGAAGUGCAGAGUCUGUGGAAGGCCACCAGCAAUUCUGGGGCCCGCCCUCGGGGGCUCGGUGCAGCCCUGGAUCACAGACUGGGCACACAAGCCUGUGGGUGUGGCCACAGCACAGAGGCUUUUCAGCUUCUUAUGGGGUCUCUUGGAGCUAUUUCAGAAGCACCUGGACACAUACAGCUGGGCAGAGACGCUCCUGAGUUCAUCUGCCGCGCCCUCGACUCUACCUGGCCGCUGGCUCACAGCCUGGUGCUUAAGCCACCCACCUGAUCCACAGGUAGCUGGGCCCCUCCCCUGCCUAACCUCCACUGCUCCAUCGGGCCCCCGCCUUUCCGAGCUGAGCUGAGCUCGUAUCUGCAGCUGGUGGUCUGGAGCCCUGCCCCUUUCUCUAAGCCCCGCCCCCCGGAAUGGACCGGUGUCAGCGCAGAAGCCAGAGGCCAGACAGGACCGAUGAGAAAGAGGCUGCCAGCACUUCCCCAAUCUCUGCUGCCCACUCCUGCUCGUCAGGUUCUGCAAGAUCCCCGUGGAGCGUGAGUGCCCGGCCUGGUAGAGGCUGGGGGGAGACCUGGAGGGACUGGGGGCGGGGCUCCCU
rnacentral:lncRNA from 1 species